UUCUAUAAUUUCAUAGGUGACAAUUACAUUCUAAACUUAACUUUAACUUGUUAUUCUUGAUAAUCUUCUUAGCGACUCAUUUUUCUCAUUUCUUUCAAUUUCUCCUCCUAUUGUCUGCCUUUCAAAUUCCAUAUUUUCCAUCAGCAUUCUCUGCCAUCUCUGAUUUCGCUUCCGGUUGAUAAUGAGACACUGUUUCGGUUACCUGCCGAGCUUCGUGGUAGGUCCCUGCAACUAUUGUACCAGCUCUUUUGAUUUGUUUGAUCAAAGCAUUAUUAUAUUCGGCCUGGUCAUGCUUUUGUUUGUGGUCUACUUGUUCUUACCACUAAGAACUAAAUUAAACAUAAAGAACAGAAAAAUAAUUAGUGAAAUGGUUUGUGCUUCUAUGAAGCACUAAUUGUGAAAAAACUCAUGAUCCUCGAGCUCUUUUUUGGCCACCACUGAGAAGUUCUCUCGCCCAAAUUAUAUUCAUGGAUGCCUUUUGCCCAUUUCCUGCUUUUGUGGUUUUAAAACAAUUUGGUGGGGAUAUUAUGUUGUUGGUUCCCCACAAUUAAAUGCUCCUACGUAAGAAUCUUGUUGAAAAGUGGCAUCUUCGUCGUGUUACUCUUGUUUUCUUCUGUGGACAGCUGCUAUUUGGUUGAAAUCUCCGAAGACCAACAUGACUUGACAAGAGAAGCGUCAAAUAUCAGAGGCCCCUCAAAAACCAAAUUUCGGAGCGUACCUAGUUGCUUACUAAAUUUGGCAGAAGGGGUCAGGUCGGGUAUAUUCAAAGUGCUGUGAAGUCGAGUUCAUCCAUAUAAGAAUAUUAUAUACCGAGUUGAUUAUAGAAUGAGUGGCGGUGGGGAAUGGAGGUUCAAAGAGCCACAGAAUCUUGUAGAGGUGGUAUCAGAAAUGUACGUACGGUCGCAAACUGAGUCACUGGUCCUGUGUUCUACAUUAAAAUUAUGAAAGAAGUGCUUAUUUGUUUUUAGGUGGCUGAAAUGAAGAAGAGAAAAAGGCCAAGGUAACUAAAAGUUGAUCCAUUUGGUGACAAAAUCAAACAGAGAAUUCAUAAUGGCAGAAAAGACUGUAGAGAAAACUCCACGGAGAUGAAACAGAUGAGCUCCUUUUUAGAGCCCAGGAAUUUGACUGCGUUGUGAACACGUUAUGAAUUAGAUGGAAAUUUUUAGACAAUAUAUUCAUUGAUUUUAUUUGUCAUACUAUUCCAAUAAAACAUUGAGAUUUAUACAA